rnacentral:rRNA from 1 species
GAUGAACGCUAGCUACAGGCUUAACACAUGCAAGUCGAGGGGCAUCAGGAAGAAAGCUUGCUUUCUUUGCUGGCGACCGGCGCACGGGUGAGUAACACGUAUCCAACCUGCCCUUUACUCGGGGAUAGCCUUUCGAAAGAAAGAUUAAUACCCGAUGGGAUAAUGAUUCCGCAUGGUUUGAUUAUUAAAGGAUUCCGGUAAAGGAUGGGGAUGCGUUCCAUUAGGUUGUUGGUGAGGUAACGGCUCACCAAGCCUUCGAUGGAUAGGGGUUCUGAGAGGAAGGUCCACCACAUUGGAACUGAGACCAGGUCCAAACUCCUACGGGAGGCAGCAGUGAGGAAUAUUGGUCAAUGGGCGCGAGCCUGAACCAGCCAAGUAGCGUGAAGGAUGACUGCCCUAUGGGUUGUAAACUUCUUUUAUAUUAGAAUAAAGUGCAGUAUGUAUACUGUUUUGUAUGUAUAAUAUGAAUAAGGAUCGGCUAACUCCGUGCCAGCCGCCGCCGUAA